UUCUGUUUAUGUGUGGCAUUUUCAGUAAAGAAGUUUUGAGUAAACACGUUGUCGUUGAAUACCGCUUCUCUGCCGAACCUUUUAUUAGUGCCUCAAGCAGUAAUGUCUCUGUUUUAUCUCAGGUAUGCCUGUGGGCGUAGAAACAAACUAAGGAAAUUUAGAAAUGGCAAAGAUCAAAGGUCAAGUUAAGUGGUUCAACGAAGCAAAAGGUUUUGGUUUCAUUACUCCUGCUGAUGGCAGCAAAGAUGUGUUCGUUCACUUCUCUGCAAUCCAGGGUAACGGCUUCAAAACUCUGGCUGAAGGCCAGAACGUAGAGUUCGAAAUUCAGGAUGGUCAGAAAGGCCCGGCAGCGGUUAACGUUGUAGCGCUGUAAGUUGCACGGCGCAAGCCACGCACAUACAUCACAAUUCAAAAGCCUCGCUUAUAGCGGGGCUUUUAUC
rnacentral:sRNA from 1 species